GCAGCCGGGAUCAUAGUCUGCUGAAAAACACAGCACCAACAGCUCGCUUCUAUAGCUUGCACGGUGCACCACACCGCACCUAGUCACAGCACCCCAUGGCAAAGAAAAGAGUUUGAGACAGUAGCCGGCAUAGGAGAGAUCCCAGGUACUGGAGUUCACCUGUACAGCAUCGGAGCCAGCUGCAAGCAGACAGGUGGGACAGAGACACUGCCCUGGUAGCCGUCUGCUGUCUCACUGGAGCAGCACAGCACUGCCGGUUACCGCGUGAGCCGCCGGGCGCACAGGAAGUGCGCGACGCAGGGGGGUGUCGUCAGAGGACCCGGCGCCCGCGGUGAGGGUUUGCACGAGGUGGGGUCCUUCUCGCGCACAGCUGCCUCCACUAAUAUAUAUUAAUAAUAAUCGUCAGUGACCUGACUUAUUGCUGCCAUGUGAAGUGAAAAAGACCAAUCUCCCACCCCCACCCCCUCCCCAACAGCUCCCAUUGCAGCAACAAAGACAAGACAGAACAGAAGAGGAAGCAACAGAGUAAGCCUAGCGGGGUGGGGCAUGGCGGGGUUGACACAUCCUGUGCUGCAAACAUAUUUUUAUUAGUAAAC